rnacentral:misc_RNA from 1 species
UUAAGUUCAGCGGGUAUCCCUACCUGAUUCGAGGUCAACUAUUGAGAGACGGAGCCACAUAGCAGGCACCGCAGCGGACCCAGAAGCGAGGAGAGUACUACGCUUAGAGCCACGCGGUGCCGCAUCUAGUUUUAAGGGAUGCUAGGAUAGCAAGCCCCAAGACCAGCGGAGCUGGAGAGUUGAUAAUGACGCUCGAACAG